CUCGGUGAAACCGAAGAAAUCCUUGCACUUCUCUGCCAACGCGAACUGCCACUCUCGGCCCCUAAUCGGGCAGCUUCCGUUGAAGAGUGGCGAGCACUAAUCGAUCAGGAAAAAAACAAUAUUAAUAUGGAAUUCAGUUCUAAGUCGAAUAUUGAAACAGGUACAAAAGUCGACGGAUUAUAAAACUGAUGUUUCCGUUCGUUAUCCUCGAUUAAACGAAGUAGUACUCAGUAAUCGUGGCCAUCUAAAUAUAUAUGAUUUCCGCUUUGAUGUGUUAUAAAUCACUACUACCAACAACAGUAACUAAAACCAUCAAUUCACCAUAAUCUUAUUGAUUACAUUACAAUUGUCACAUUAGUUCACGGAACCCUAAUUUGCCCUAAUUUUUGGGAAAUGUCAGCGAUGAGGCUAUUUUGAUCAAAUCGCCAUAGAAACAUCUAUCUCUAUCAUGAAACAGCAGCCAUAAAUAAAGCAUUGAGAAAUUCAAAAGGGAGAGAGGAAAAUCACAAAGGUAUAUAUAUAUAUAUAUAUACCUGUACACGAAACGCAUGUCCUUGUAAUUCUCAACAGCAUUCUUUCUUCACCAGCUCCACUUCAUCAGUGAAGUAGGAAUUAAUUUGGAGUUGCAGAUUGUGUGGAAGUAAUUCGGCAGUUAUUUAUUAUUAUUAUUAUUAUUUUUUUAACGAUAGUGAAGGAAAUCGUGUCGGGAAAAUUGCCAUUUCCCGGCAAUAUUCACCGGAAUUCUGAGCACGUGCGCCGUACGUGAGAUCGGCAAAGGUGAAAAUUUCUCCUUCACCUAUAUUAUUGCCUACGGUUUAAUUUUUGAUUUUUC
rnacentral:lncRNA from 1 species